CUAAGAGCGUAACGUCUAGGUGUUUUUGUUAUUUUUAAAGAGUUUUCAUAUUCUUGUCUAUCUUCCGGGGAUAACCUUGCAAUAUUUUCAUUCUUCAUUGGAAUAUAUUUCGGCCUCUCGCGAAGUAAUCUUUGUUCGUAACCUUCUCUUUGUUCAGGGGUCAUCAUUACCAAAUCUUGGGGCCUCCAAUCUGUAGAGUCUACCCAAUUGUGGAAAAAGUUGCGCUUGAGUUUUGGCCGUUCCUCUUCUGUUGGUGGUGGUGUAAGGAAAUUAGGUUUAGGUGUAGCAGGCACUGGUGGUACUAUCUCGACAGAUUCAUUGUGUUGUGGCAUCUCUGCAGGCACGAAUGGAGUUGUCUGAACAGGAGCUUGAGUCGGAACAUCCAUCUUAUUUUUGAAUGUUAAAAACCGAUUUAGUUGAUCAGAGUAUAAUUUGCUUUUUUCCACUGCGCUAAGCUGUGGUGCAUCCAUGAUCUCUUUCAUUCUGUGUUCGGCAUCAUACAUCGCGCUUGCAAGUGGUGGUUGACGAUACGACUGUUUGUGUAAAAACUUUGCAAUCUCGCCGGGAAGUACGUUUGUCUUGAGUCGAUCUUGGUCACUCGUUGUCGGCUUUAAAUCCAGCAUCAAAUAUCCGUGAGGCCGGCUCGUAGCAUCUUCAUAACUCCUCAUAAACUCUUG